GACGAACGCUGGCGGCGUGCCUAAUACAUGCAAGUCGAACGAGUGGCGAACGGGUGAGUAAUACGUGAGUAACCUGCCCUCUUUUUGGGAUAAGCCUUGGAAACGGGGUCUAAUACCGGAUAAAGGGGGAUGGGCUCGCGGCCUAUUAGCUUGUUGGUGGGGUGAUGGCCUACCAAGGCGGUGACGGGUAGCCGGCCUGAGAGGGUGGCCGGCCACAUUGGGACUGAGAUACCGCCCAGAGUCCUACGCGAGGCAGCAGUGGGGGAUAUUGCACAAUGGGCGAAAGCCGUAUGCGUCGACGCCGCGUGGGGGAUGAAGGCUUUCGGGUUGUAAACCUCUUUCGCUCUCGAACGGGUAGGUGGAGAAGAAGCGCCGGCUAACUACGUGCCAGCAGCCGCGGUAAUUC
rnacentral:rRNA from 1 species